GCCUAGCUUGCUAGGUGGAUUAGUGGCGCACGGGUGAGUAAUAUAUAGAUAACGUGCCUCUUAGUCUGGGAUAGCCAUUGGAAACGAUGAUUAAUACUAGAUACUCCUUCUAACUCUAAUGUUAGUUGGGAAAGUUUUUCGCUAAGAGAUCGGUCUAUAUCCCAUCAGCUAGUUGGUAGUGUAAGAGACUACCAAGGCAAUGACGGGUAGCGGGUUUGAGAGGAUGAUCCGCCACACUGGUACUGAGACACGGACCAGACUCCUACGGGAGGCAGCAGUGAGGAAUAUUGCACAAUGGAGGAAACUCUGAUGCAGCAACGCCGCGUGGAGGAUGACGCAUUUCGGUGUGUAAACUCCUUUUAUAUGUCAAGAAAAUGACGGUAGCAUAUGAAUAAGCACCGGCUAACUCCGUGCCAGCAGCCGCGGUAAUACGGAGGGUGCAAGCGUUAUUCGGAAUCACUGGGCGUAAAGGACGCGUAGGCGGGAUGC
rnacentral:rRNA from 1 species